rfam:Ictidomys tridecemlineatus contig047228, whole genome shotgun sequence.
GGGGAUAUAGCUCAGUUGGUAGAGUGCUUGCACAAGGCCCUGGGUUCAAUUCCCAGCACCACCA